rnacentral:snRNA from 1 species
CGAUGUGAGAGUGAUCUGGCUUCAACAUCUGUCACCCCACUGACUGCCAAAUUUGAUUUGGCUGAUCUGACUGGCUAGGUGGGUGUCCCUGUCCUCCCUCACUGCUCCAUGUGCAUCCCUCCCAAAGCUGUAUACUUGGUUGAAGAGGACACUCCUGAUAAGACCAUCAUCCCUCAGCAAAGGUAUACAAGUAGCUGUGCUCCCCUGCUACAGCCUAGGUGUCCAGUUCUUAAUUUUUUUAAUUUAAAAACAAAACUUUUUA